UACGUAGGUGGCAAGCGUUAUCCGGAAUUAUUGGGCCUAAAGCGUCCGUAGCUGGCUUGUUAGAUGCCUGGGUAAAUCGAUGCGCUCAACGUAUCGACUUCCGGGUAGACCGGCAAGCUCGAGACCGGGAGAGGUGUAGGCUACUCGAGGGGUAGGGGUAAAAUCCUGUAAUCCUUCGGGGGGGACCAGUGGCGAAGGCGCUACACUAGAACGGCUCUGACAGUGAGGGACGAAGCCCUGGGGCGCAAACCGG
rnacentral:rRNA from 1 species